UACGGAGGGUGCAAGCGUUGUCCGGAUUUAUUGGGUUUAAAGGGUGCGUAGGCGGCCCUCUAAGUCAGUGGUGAAAUACUGCAGCUUAACUGUAGCAUUGCCAUUGAUACUGGAGGGCUUGAGUACAGAUGAGGUAGGCGGAAUUUAUGGUGUAGCGGUGAAAUGCAUAGAUACCAUAAAGAACACCUAUUGCGAGGGCAGCUUACUAAGCUGUAACUGACGCUGAGGCACGAAAGCGUGGGGAGCGAACAGG
rnacentral:rRNA from 1 species